GGGUGACGGGAAAGAGUGCUUGGGAAAGAGUUAUGACAACUCCGCAGUUAAGCGUGCUUGGGAAAGAGUAGUACUAGGAUGGGUGACCUCCUAGGAACUCCUCGUGUUUCACCCC
rnacentral:rRNA from 1 species